GAUGAACGCUGGCGGCGUGCCUAAUACAUGCAAGUCGAGCGAACAGAUAAGGAGCUUGCCCCGUUGACGUUAGCGGCGGACGUGUGAGUAACACGUGGGUAACCUACCGAUAAGACUGGAAUAACUCCGGGAAACCGGGUCUAAUGCCGUAUAACAUUUAGAACCGCAUAGUUCUAAAGUGAAAGAUGGUUUUGCUAUCACUUAUAGAUCGAGCCGCGCCGUAUGAGCUAGUUGGUAAGGUAACGGUUUACCAAGCCAACGCUACGUAGCCGACCUGAGCGGCUGCUGGGCCACACUGGAACUGAGACCUGGUCCACACUCCUACGGGAGGCAGACGCCGGGAACCUUCCCAACUGGGCGAAAGCCUGACGCAGCAACGCCGCGUGAGUGAUGAAGGUCCUCGGAUCGUAAAACUCCGUUCAUCGGGACGAAGACAUGUGUAAGUAACUGUGCACGUUUUGACGGUACCUAAUCAGAAAGCAACGGCUAACUACGUG
rnacentral:rRNA from 1 species